AACGCGAAGAACCUUACCUGGACUUGACAUCCUCGGACCGCCUCAGAAAUGAGGUUUCCCCUUCGGGGGCCGGGAGACAGGUGCUGCAUGGCUGUCGUCAGCUCGUAUCGUGAGAUGUCGGGUUAAGUCCCUUAACGAGCGCAACCCUUGUCCCUAGUUGCCACCAUUCAGUUGGGCACUCUAGGGAGACUGCCGGUGUUAAACCGGAGGAAGGUGGGGAUGACGUCAAGUCCUCAUGGCCUUUAUGUCCAGGGCUACACACGUGCUACAAUGGUCGGUACAAAGGGUUGCCAACCCGCGAGGGGGAGCUAAUCUCAGAAAACCGAUCUCAGUUCGGAUUGAAGUCUGCAAUUCGACUUCAUGAAGCUGGAAUCGCUAGUAAUCGCGGAUCAGAACGCCGCGGUGAAUACGUUCCCGGGCCUUGUACACACCGCUACAGU
rnacentral:rRNA from 1 species